UGAAACGGCAUGUGUCAUCCAGAUGUGGUA
rnacentral:piRNA from 1 species